GUCCGGUCACUUGUGGGUGACAGCUGAGGCCAGGCUGCUGCUCCCUGCAGCCCUCUGCAGAGCAAGGUGCCGAAUCUGCAAAACCCGUACCGGCAGGUUUUCUCUGUAUAGCUUUGGAGCAUUUCUUGGAACUCACUCUGUAAACUAGGCUGGCCUUGAACUCAGAGAUCCUCCUGGCUCUCUGGAUCACCACCUCCUGGCUUGUUUACAUUCUUGAAGGAUCUUGUUGGAGAGGUCCCUGUUGUAAGAAGCUAAGGAGGACCUUGGGAUUGAAAAACAACAACAACAACAACAACAACAACAACAACAACAACAGGAAGAGAGAAUACCAGCAAGCCACAGACAGUGGGGAGCUGAUGACCAAGAGGGUGGAGUGAAUCCUUCCAUAAACAGUCUUGAUGUGAAGCCACAGUCUGACCAAUGUGUUGAUUCUAGCCUCGCGAGAUCCUGGACUGGAACCUGGGUCCCAGCUGGUGAAAAUUAUGAGCUAAUGAUUAAUGAUAUUUGAAGCUGCUAUAUUUGGGCAAUCCAGAGCCACAACAACAAAUAAGUAGCCUGGUGUGGCGGUCUAUGCCCAUCACCCCUGCGCUCAGGAGGUGAAGACAGAAGAAUGGUGUAGAGGGCAGCUUAGACUGCAGUGAGUUCAAGGGCAUCCUCACUCCGUGUCAGAAAAACAAGGGGGGGGGGGGCGAUGCAGCUCACUGGCAGAAUGUUUCCCUGGUAUGCACUCGGUCCUGGAUUCAACUCCCCACCAUCAAAAGGAAAAACAAAACAGAACCCACAAAAACAUGGCUAAGGGUAUGCCUCCAUUGGUAAAGUGUCUGCAGGAAGCUGAGUUCAGGUCCCAGCACACACUUAAAAAACUGAGGGUGAUUGUGAGUGGCUGAACCCCUAGCACCGAGGAGGCAGAGACAGGUGGAUCCAUGGAGCUUUCUGGCCAGUUCCAAGUUCACUGUCACUAAACAAACAAAAAUAAUGCAGGUGGGUUGGUGCUGGAGGAACAGCACAGGGGUUCAGAGCUGGCUCUCCCGGAGGACCCAGACACAAUUCCCUGCACCCACAUGGUGGCUCACAACCAUCUGCAACUCCAGUUCCUCCCAGGGAUUUGACACCCUGUCCUGGCCUCUUUGGGCAACAGGCAUGCACACGGUGCACAGACCUAUAUGCAGGCAAACACCCCCACACAUGAAAUAAAAACUAUUAGAUAGACAGCAAUAAAGAAAGAUACACAGUGUCAACUUUGGUUCCGCACGAAUAUAUAUUCAUGUGCACACAUACCCACACAUGUACAACACACACAUAUAUGCACAAAAACUUAUGAACCCUAAAGCGACCACUCCCCUUCAAGCUCUCCUCUUCCACAUCUUUCUCCCGUUGCUGUUUGCUCUCUUUGCUCUCAUCUCCCCUGCUAGCCUCAUCCAGAGACACUUUCUUCCCUCUGGCCUUCAUCACUGUCCAGCAUUGAGUGAGAAAGGAAACUAAACCCUCUCAGAGGCAGCUGUGUGAAACUGGUUAAGUUCACUUAGCUUCUCGGACGACGACGACGACGACGUCCACCUGUGGUUAGGUGCUUAGAGAACGGCGGUGUGCUGGAUUGAGCCAGGUUGGAGCUAGCAGCCUCUUUGGCAAUGCCAGCAACUGCCAACUACCGCAGGAGUGCCUCAAGGAACGCUAACCUUUCACCAUUAAAUUUAGCCUCCAGCCCGCACAGCUCCGUCCACUGGAAAGUGCCUGUCCCCUCUUAUUGACAGUUCCUCUGUUUUCACAGUCUUGGGAAUCAAAGAAAAGGCAGCGGGAAAGAUGGGUCCCGCCAUGCCUUGCACAGCUGUCCCUCUAGAAUUCGAGGAGACUAUAUUUGCAGUUCACAGCUGCAUUGCCUUCUUUUAGCCCCCAGCUCUCCAUGGAAAACUUUGAGCACGAGCUCACCGUGAGGGCGGAGGCGUGGCUCAGUCAGGAUCUGAGUGGAAGCGUUGUGUGUCAUAAUCUUAUAUAUAGAAACUCCAAAGAUGCCACUUAAGAGCCAUUAGAACUAACAAAUGGAUAUGGCAGAGUGGCCAGGUAUAAAACCCACCCCCCACCCCCCUCCAUCAGUGGUUUUGCUGGUAUUGCUGUAUAACAGUGAAUUAUCUGAAAUAAGAACAAGAGUGCAAACCAUUUACAGUAGGCACGAGGAAACCAAAGGCCUAGGACUGUAUCUAAUCAAAGAGGUGAAAGAUCUCGGCAGUGAAUACUAUGAAAUACUGAUUAUGGAAAAUGAAGUUAACACACACAUUCAUACACACACCUACAAACGUACAAACACACAGACUCACAUACACAUAUACACACUCACAUACAUGCACAUACAUACAGACAUCCACACACAUCCACACACAUCCACACAAAUUGAAAGACAUCUGUUUAUAAAUCGGAAGCAUCAAUAUUAUUAAAAUACAACUCAGCACUCUGCAGACACGAUAAGAUAAAUUUUUCACAGAACUAGGAGUAACACUUGUAAAUCUCUCUGGGGGAGGGUAAAGCCAGUCACACAACAUGCAACACAGUGGAAGGUGUGAGAGUCCCCUGAACUCAAAGAGAUCCGCCUGCCUCUGCCUCCGGAGUGCUCGGGAUUAAAGGUGUGCGCCACCACCGCCCGGCUGAGUCCCCUGUCUUGAGAACAUUCGACAAAGUCACAGCACUCAAGACAGGGUGGUAUAACCACAAAAAGACACAUAGACCGAUGGCACAGAACAGGACAAGGGCAUGCUCGCGUCCGCAGGCAGCUGAGGGCUUUUAUUCUUUCUUUUUUGAGACAGGCUCUCUUGUGGCUCAGGCUGAUCUUGAACUCACUAUGUAGCUGUGGCUAGCCUUCCACUCUUCCUGCCUCUGCCUCUCAAGUGGUACGUGCGUCACCGUACCUGAGCGUCAGCUGAUUUUUGGCCAAGGUGCUCAGGACACGCACUGGAGAAAGGGCAACUUUCUGCAUGUGGAUUUAUGAAUAUUCAUCAUGUUCUUUGGGGGUUGGUAACUCGGUUCACUUAAUGUGUUGCAUAAAUCGUUCUGUCUAAUUUCUGUGUUCCCUGGAUAAGCAGUGGUCCACAUCUCUCCGUCCUGCUUUUAAAUUAUUUAUUUUGGAACAAUAACUUAAUUGUGUAUGUAUGUUUGGUUAGCAUGUCAUAAUUAUACACAAUAAUGGGUUUCACUAUGGCAAUAUUACACAUGUAUGUAUUGUAUAAUGAUCAUAUUCACCUACUCUCUCAUCUCCCUCCUGAUAAUCCCCUCCCAGUUCCUAACGAGUCUCUCCUCUACCUCCAUCUCAUUUUUCUUCCCCUUUUUUUAUGACUCAGUGCGUUUCAUUAGGUUUGUUUCCAGGACAUGGGUCCGGAUCACCUCCCCCUCCAAGCAAUAGGAGCUGCCUUGAGAUCCUCAGGUGGGUGGGCCUUGGGAAUCCCUUCCCAAUAGUAGGUUUCCACUAUAUUAUCACCGGACCUUAGUGUUGUUGACUAGCCACAUUGUCUUCCUCUGCCCCUUCCCCCAGCCUCCACUUGUUGGACCCUUUCCUCCCCCCACUUCUCUGUCUCAUCACAGAGGUAUGUAGACUUAAAUCUAGGUUUUGUGUACAAAAAUGCUGGAUUUUGUGUUUUUAGACUCCCAUUACCCUCUCUAGCUCCCCUAUCCUUUCCUUUUAGACUUCUUCCUCCUCCUCCUAGGACCGCUCAACUUUCGCAUUGCGUGUGUGUGUGUGUGUGUGUGUGUGUGUGUGUGUGUGUGCGCGCGCGCGCGCGCGCGCGCGCGCAUGCAUGUAUGUUUAAAUCUAGAUUCUGCAUCUCUGUUUUGUGUGAUGGAAAAACCCCACAAAUGGACAGUAGUAUCAGGACAAAAUAUCAUGAAUGUAAUAAAUCAAUACAAUUAAUGUAAUUAAUGAAUAACAUAAAUAUAAUUAUUGAAUGAAAAAAUCUAGAUUCUGCAUAUGAGAUAAAAUACUCAAUACUUGUCUUUCUGAGUCUGGCUUUACUGCAUUUAACACGACGCUGUCCAGUCCCAUAACUUUCCUGCAAAUGGCAAGAUUUUACUCUUCUUUACUUUCCUAGUGGGUGUGUGCCACUUUUUAUUCCAUUCAUCUGACAGAGCUCUUCCCUAGCAUGCGUGGGGUUCUAGGUUCAAUAAGUAGUGCCACAAAAAAGUAGAAAGGAAGGAAAGAAAAUAGAUCGUUGAUCAUCAUUGGUGAAAAUGUAAAUUAGUAUAGACAUGAUGCAAAACAGAAGCUUGUUCCUCAAAAGAUUAAAAAUAGAAAUAUGGUAUGGUUCAGGAUUCCCUUCAGCACAUCCGGGCAUAUGGACGGUAAAACAAGUAGAAGGCAAGCUGGGUACCAAGGGCUGAGCAGAAGGGCAGGUCAGUGGAUUUCACUUUACAAUGAUGUACUGCCAUGAUCCAGCACCAGGGGGCAGGAGAAACUCGAGUCCGGAGUCCAAGGCCAGGCUGAACUGCUUGGGGAGACCUUGUUUUUAUCAAAACAAAAACAACAACCAAGUGGCUGGCUCAGUGGUUAAGAGCACUGACUGUUGCUCCAGAGGACCCAGGUUCAAUUCCCUAGCACCCACAUGGCAGCUCACAACUGUCUGUGACUCCAAGAUAUACACACACAUACACAUGCAGGCAAAACACCAAUGCACAUAAAAUAAAAAUUAAAAAAAAAAAAGGCAACAAACAAAACCCCAGAAUGAAGAAGUCCUGAUGUGCUGUCUGUGGUAGAGUGAAAACAGAUGGAAGAUAUGUACUGAGUACCUCAAAAAGCCAGAACAAAGGUUUUUUUUUUGUUUGUUUUUGACCAUAAAAAAAUAACUGUUUGCCAGGAUGUUUAACCUGAUUUAAAAAUUACAUAAAAUCACAAAAUGUACAUGUGUAUCCAAGCAGCACCUACUACACUGUUAAUGUUACUUUAUUUUGUAUCUGCUAAGGUUCAUUUGUAAAAGGAAACACUGGUUGGGUGGGGGGAGCAAUAAAUAAAUAAAUUAAAUUAAAAAGGGAACAGCAUAUAUUCCUUAAAAUCCUCCAAUGAUGUGUAAGGCCUGGGCACUAGAUUAAGACUAUCUACUUCUCUCUUUCUCUUCUUAAAUUGUAACAUAUUAGACAUUUGGAAAAUGCAAAAAUUAUGUGAAAGGACCCCCCAUUGUAUUCCUACCAUCUAUAUUUAAUGUGUGCAUAUAUAUAUUAUGUAUAAUGUAUACAUAAUAUUCAAUAUCACAGAUAAAACUAUGCUAAUUAUACUUCUUUCUGAAGAGACAGCUCCUGUGCCACAGUUUUGUGUGAAGAUUUAUUAUUUAUUUAUGUGUAUGUGUGUACCUGUGUGUAGGUUUGUACGUGUAGGUACAGCACCCUUGGAGUGUAGAGGGUAUCAGAUCCUCUGGAGCUGGAGUUAUAAGGAGUUGUGAGUCUUGGGGCAUGGGUUCUGGGAACUGAACUCUAGUCCUUUGUAAGAGCAGGAAGGACUCUUUUUUUCUUUGCUUUUUUUUUUUUUUUUUUUUUAAAGAUAGGGUUUCUCUGUGUAGUUUUGGUGCCUUUCCUAGAUCUCACUCUGUAGACCAGGCUGGCCUCGAACUCACAGAGAUCUGCCUGGCUUUGCCUCCCGAGUGCUGGGAUUAAAGGUGUGCACCAUCACUACCCCCAGGCAUUUAUUUUAUUGUGUAUUGUAAAUAUAUAGAAACCUGUGACACAAGAGUUUUUAAAGGAUAAAAAUUCAAAAUCAGCUUUGAAUUUUUAAAACUAUUUUUCCUCCAGAGUUUAACAUUCCUUUUUAAGCAUUUUUAAAUUUUGCAUGUAUCUGUUUUCUAAGAAGGGAGAGAAGAAGUCAUGGAAUUGAAUGGGUGGGGAUGUGGGAGAUGAGAGAGGGGAAGUCAUGAUCAGAAUAUACUGUACAUUUUUUUAUUUAAAAAAUACAAAAUAGGGGUUGGGGUUUAGCUCAGUGGUAGAGUGCUUGCCUAGCAAGCACAAGGCCUUGGGUUCGGUCCCCAGCUCUGGAAAAAAAAUACAAAAUGGGGCUGGAGAGAUGGCUCAGAGUUUAAGAGCACUGACUGUCCUUCCAGAGGUCCUGAGUUCAAUUCCCAGCAACCACAUGGUGGUUCACAACCAUUUAUAAUGAGAUCUGGCGCCCUCUUCUGGCAUAUAGGCAUACCAGAACAUUGUAUACAUAAUAAAUAAAUAAAUCUUCAAAAAAUAAAUAAAAAAUACAAAACAAUUGAAGAAAAGCAAAUUGAGUGUGACUAGAUUGUUCUGACAAUCAGAUGCACAUUCACUGGCAUCCUAUUUUUAUUUUUAAAGCGACAAUGUCCUGGUCGCUCAGGAGGUGACACAUCUUCCCCCUGCUCAGGUGUCCCUGCUUCCACAGUUUCUCUUGCACUUCCUUUGCUGUGUAAAAUUGGCGUGGUUGGGGUGGGGGAUCCGGAGGAGUAGGCUUUCUGCUUCCUGCACGUGGAUCGGGGGCUCAAACUCAAACUGUCGGCUUGGCGGCAAAUGCCGCCACCCGCUGAGCCACCUUGCCGGCCCUUCCUUUUUUAAAACCUUAUUCUUCUUUAUACAUUCUGCAUAUUAGGUGGAAGUUUUAAAUAUGUAUGCAAUCAAAUCCCUACGGGAUCUAUGCAAUCAGCUUUUUCCCUUUCGAGUUUGUGUUUUUGGAAUCUUAAGAAUUCUUUCCUCAUCUCAAGGUCAUUAAAGUAUUUCGGUGUCUUUUUUUUUUUUCUUCUUCUCUAAAACCUUGUUUUUGUUUGAGUCCCAAGUUGGCCUAGAAACCCGGCUGUCCUUGCCUUCAUCCCCUGAAUGCUGGGUUACGGUGUAGUUAUAGACGGAUGUGAGCAAACCUUCUAAGCACUCUGGUGUCUGCAUUGUAUUCUUGACUUGUUCCUGGGAAUGUGUGUGGAAUGGUCCGGGAAGCCCGUAUGUCAUUUUUCCUGUGGUGGAAGCCCGUAUGACAUUUUUCCUGUCAUGGUUUAAGCUCUGGACAUUUUGAUGGCGCCUUUGCUCCUUUCUCUGGUGUUUUUGGACCCCAUGGAACCAGGUGACUUCAGUUACUUCAGCUUUAUCAUAAGCUGUAUUCGGCUUAUUCUUUAUUUCUUUGACAAUCUCAGUGUAGUCCAAGCUAGCUCAGAACUCACCAGGCUAGCCUCAAACUCAGUAAUCUUCAGUCUCAACUUGUUGGUGCUGAGAUUUCAGCUGGGAACAACCAGAAUGGAGCUAUUCUUGACUGUUUCAUAUGGAUUUUAAAGUCCACAAAAAGCAUGGGGGUUUGGUUGCAUUAACUGCAAAGAUGACUCUGGGAGGAACUGACAUGGCUAACACAGCAAUCCUGACUGUUUUAUAUGCUAGAUGCUCCAUCUAUUCAUGCCCUUGUAUGUAUUUGUUUGCUUGGAUUUUAAAAUCAAUCAAUCAAUCUCUCUAUUUCUCUCUCUCUCUCUCUCAUAUGUGUAAUAUGUAUUGUAUGUAUAUGUUCAUGUGGGAAUGUGCAUGCUAGCAUGCUGGCUCGAGUGCAUGCCGCUGCCCAGAGGUUGAUGUUGUGGGUCACCUUCAAUCUCUCCCCACCUUGUUCGUUGAGGGUUUUUCAUCUAUUUGGCCAUGCUGACUGACCAGGGAUGAGGAUCCACCUGUCUCCACCUCCUAGAACAGUAAGAGAUGGACAUCACCUUGCCUGGCUUUGUAUGUGGGUGUAGGAGCCCCAAAGUCUGGUUCUCAUGAGUGCAAGUCAAGCCCUUUAGUGACUGACUCAUCUCCCUAACCCCCUUGUUUGCUUGUUUUUAAUGGAAAGUUUAGACUUUUCUCCAUAAAAUCCUGUGUGUCUUUUGUUCUAUUUAUGGCUUGCAAUAUUGGUUGUUCUUGGUUCCUAGACUUUAACUGAUUUUAGUAUCUGUUAUAACUCAAUCUUGAAUGCCACCCUCCCGGGAGCCAUGUGUUAAAGCUUUGGCUCUCAGCCAGUGGCGCUAUUGGGAAUGGUAGACUCCUUCAGAGGGGUAUUAGCUGGAGGGAAUGGGGUCAUUGGAGGUGUGCCAUUGAAGGAGAUGUUGAGACCCAGGCCCCUUCCUCUUUCCUUCUGCUUCCCAGCUGGCCUUCUGUGAACAGGCUUCUCAUGCCGUGCAUUUCAAGCAAGAUGAACCACGCUGUCACAGGCCUGAAACAACCAUGGGGUCACCAUGGGCUAGAAUCCCAGAAAUUGUGAACCACCCCAUCCCUGAUUCCCCCCGCACACCCACCAUGGACUAGGCUUCCAGGAUUUACCUGUGUCCCGUUUUAAUAGCCAGGUAAAUGCUAUAAGCAGAAAAAAGUGCUGUCCUUUCCCAUCUGUCCAGUUUGGGUAAAAAAAAUUGAGACUAACAAUUUAAUGACUAUAACCAGGUAAGUGGUUUCACCAUAGAAGAAGGCUAUCCUGUGUUUGUUCAACUGGUGCUGGGAAUUGAACUCAUGGCUCCAGCAAGAAGCCAUGGUCUCCUGUUGCCAUCCCCAGGCUCCCUUACAUCCCUAAGUCAUAAUGCUUAGACUGUAGCUAAGAAUUUCAAAUUUCUUCUCUCUGUUGUUUGUUUCCUUCUGGUUUCCAUGUUAUCUAAUCUAUAUUAUCUUUAGCUCAAAGUCUGUGGUCUUUGGCUAUUCAUUCUCAGUUAGCGGCGAUGGGUGGGUAUACGUUAGGGUCUCUGCAUAGUCAACACUUCUUUCCGUUUGCAUGUUGGGAUGGGGUGAGUAGGGCGUGGGAAGGAAAGAAAGCAGGAGGGAAGGGGCUCAGGUCUCACUGCUUAAAUGCAGAAUUCCAUCCAGCCCUGCUGGAGAUGUUUUCAUCCUUCUUGUUGCCAUAUCUGGUACUCUGGGAUUGGGUUCUUCUCCAUAGCAACAGAUGCUCACAGUGAACCCUCUCUGGUACCUCUGAGGGCAGGGAAGGGGAUGGUGUUCAUGGUGUUCUAGGCAGAGAUUCAGCUCUCCCGUUUCCAGUGCCUCGACUCACACUGCCACGUUUAAGGUCACACUCCUUGGACACUGACAAUCCUAGCACUAAGGCUAAGACAGGAGGGUCCUGUGUUUGAGGACCACCUCUGCUACAAAGAAAGACCCUGUCUCAAAAACAAACAAAUGAACAAACAAACAAACAAACAAAAGAAUUAUACUCAAUUCUUGGAUUUGUAGAGAGUUCUAUUUUCCUAAAUGUUAUGAGUUUUUGUUUUAUAUUGUUUUUUUCAAGACAGGGUUUCUCUGUACAGCCCUGGCUGUCCUGGAACUCGCUCUGUAGACCAGGGUGGCCUCUAACUCACAGAGAUCCGCCUGCCUCUGCCUCCUAAGUGCUGAGAUUAAAGGCAUGUACCACCACCACCAGGCUAUGAAGUGUUUGUUUUUCUUUUUUGGUUUUUGUUUUGAAUAAAAUUGUUAUAGAGUAUUGAAAAUUAGUAUUUGUGUGUAUAUGAUUUUCUAUAGACUUCUAUUUUUCUAAGUAGUAUAAUAUUCUUUAAAAUGUUAUUUUAAAGAUGUUGUUAUAAACUCUUACUAAAAGUUUAAAAAUACCAUACUAUCUUCCAAAACUACAGAGUCUCUUUGCCUUUAUAUUUUGGGGAAGGGAAUGGAUCUGGAAUUUGGUUUAAAAUUCUUCAUUAAUGAAUUAUCAUUGGGUUUACUGCUGUAUUUGUACAAGGGCUCUAACAUUUCCCCCAGUUGGCUCCCCCGGCCACUUUAGGAAUACGCUUUGGAUAAUUUAUCUUUCUUUGCUUUGAUGGCUUGAAAUGGUGACUUUUAUGUUAAAGUCCCAUUUGGACUAAGGUCCUUUCUGGGACUUUUUUUCCUCUUUGUUGUUUCUUUUUACAUCCUCCUCCGUUUCUCACAUCAUCUCGCUCGUCACUGCAGUUUAAUAUGAGGUGUGACUCUCGGCUUCACCAGUGGCAGGUUAACAACAGCUCUGCUCUUCGUGCAGCGGUCUGCAGAGCAUCCCUGUGCACACUCCCUUCAGAAGCCUUGCAGCAAUGAUCUGUUCUCUUCCUCCCUCUCUCUACAUCUGGUCCAUCUCACGCUGCAUGUUCACCUGCAGAAGGCAGAGGCCACCGAACCCAUACGGGGUUAAACAGACUUUGUUAUAAAGGAGACAAAUAACAAAACCACAAGUCUUUAAAUUCGACAAAAGAAACUCACAAACCAACCUGAAACAAGCAGGGCACACAUGGUCACUUUUUAAAAGAAGCUAAAAAUAAGAAAUUAUUUAAAAAUGAUAGGACUGCAAUUACUGGUACCAGUAUAAACACACCAAAAUAUAUUAAAAGGAAGAAUGUUUGGAUUAUAAGCAAGUAACAUUCAUUCAUUCAUUCAUUCAUUCAUUCAUUGAGAUCAGUCUCACUGUAUAGCUGAGGCUAGCCUAGAACUUCCUAUGUAGAACAGGCUGGCCUUGAAGUCACAGCAAUCCUCUUACCUCUGCCUCUGAAGUACUGGGACUGAUCAUGUCCACACAUUAUAUUUACAUUAUAUACUUCAUACACAGAGCACAGCAAAUUAAAAAUACUCAGUAAGACUUUCUAAGAAAAUACAAGGAAAAGAAAAAGUCGUUCAGGGCUGGAGGUCUAGCUCAGCUUGCCUAGGGUGGGCAAGGCCCUAGGUUCAACAUCCGGCACCAUGAAACAAAACAGGAGUGAGAUUGAAUAGUGUAAGCAGACAUGGAGGCUGGAAUAUGGAGGUAAGUGUGGGCAACACUAAGCAAUGAAUAGAGGCUUAAAUAUCAGGCAGGUGAGGAGGUGUGUAUGACAGAGAAAAUGCUAAGCUCAAGGGCUUUGACUGUCCACAGGUAAUAUGAGACAGGUGGGGCCAGUAUCUGCUGUGCCUGUCAACAGUCACCUCAAGUAGGAGUUAGAAAAGAAGGAAAAGAUGGAUCUGGGAUGUAGCUCAGCUGGUAGAGUGCUCACCUAGCACACACCAUCUCAAGCAUGCCAUGAAGUGGGCAUGUGGCUCACUUGGCACACACCGUCUCUACAUGACAUGAAGUGGGCGUGGGCAUGUUGCUCAUCCAACACAUACCAUCUCAAACAUACCAUGAAGUGAGCAUGUUGCUCACUUAGCACCCACCAUCUCUAGCAUGCCACAAAGUAAGCAUGUUGGUGCACAUCUGUAAUCCCAGCACUUGGGUGGUAGAGGUAGGAGGGUCAGAAAUUCAAGGUCCUUCUAGGCUGAAUGCUAAGUUCUAGACCAGUUCGGGCUCCAUGAGAUCCUGCUGGGAAAAACAAACAAACAAACAAACAAACAAACAAACAAACAAACCAGGCUUGAUGCACAAAUGAACUCACAGAGAUUGUGGCAGCAUGCACAGGGUCUGCACAGGCCCCAGGGUUGAGAGGGUCAGUGAACACAAGCCUCCAUGCCUAACCAAGAAUCUACUUCCAAUUGCCACUGCUUGCAAGGGAAAACUCCGUUUUCUUCAGUGGAGUCUCACUGGGUAUAUAAACCACACUUAAGGGCAGGCCCCAUGUCUAGCAGUAGAUGGCAGCACAGAACAAGCUCAAUGGGAUAUUUGGAGAUUUUUUUCUUUUUUUCAUAUUGCUUUGUUUGCUCAUUAAAAAAAAAAACUUACUGGCCUUUUGCUUGUAUAUUGUAUUUUCUAAUUUUGCAUUUUUAUGUUUUUUUGGUGUUUCUCAUGAUUUUUCUUUGUUUCUUCAUUUUCCCCCCAACCCCCACCACCUUGCUUUCUAAAGAGAAAGAGAAAGAAAGCAUGGAAUUGGAUGGGUGGGGAGGAUCUGGGAGGGUAGACCAUGAUCAGAAUAUAUUGUAUGAAAAAAUAAUUUUCAAUUAAAAAAUUUAAAUUAAAAAAAUCCAAAAAGCAAACAAGACAAAUAAAUGAACAAAAGAAAGAGUUAUGUCUUCUGGUAAAAAAUAAUGGCAGCUGGUAUAGAACAGAGAGGAAGAUCAGUGUAACUGAGGGUGAAAGGUCCAAUGCACCAUGAGGAGAAAUGUCUGCUGGGAUGAAAGAAACGAAGGGGAGAACUUGAAAGAAGUGGAGGCUGAGGAGACUCAGAAGAGGCCAAACACAAAUCUGGAUGCACACGUCCUCUACAGGAAACGACUGCCAUGGAAUGCCAGAAACGGAUGGACACAUUUGUGCUUUCCUACAGUGUUGGAACAGCUAUAGGUUUAUUGCUAGCAACUUGUUAAAGAAUCCCACCUUCUUUAGCAACCUAGUCAAGGCAAUGUGGGUCCUUUUAGUUCAGACUUAAUCACUAAUAUCAACUCUCAUAUUGCACAGCACACAGUAAGUGUAUCUAUAAAUAUAUAUGCAUAUAUAUAUAUAUAUAUUUCAGAAUAAAUACAAGGUAAAGAGGGUACAACAGAGUUCACGAGCUUCUAGAAAUGGGUUGGGAGAAAUGCAAAUAGAGCCUGUAUAGAUAAUAAGGGAACCCAGAGCAGCCCCAAGGAAGCUUUCACUGUAGAGGUCAGGCAGUCAGAAAGUGAGCUUUGAGAUCCAAGGUGUCAGCUACUGAGGCCAGAGGGCAGAACAGGGUUGGACCAGGAGAUGAUGGGCUCAAGUCUGAAGAGGUGAGGAGGUAGGUCAGUGGUGGGGCAGGCUGCAUCAGUGACAGGAGAGGAGCUGAGAUGAAGCCCCAGGAACAGUCGGGCAUUCUCUGCCUGCCAGUCCUUGACUUGCACACCAGCUAUCGGACAGGUUGGUGAGACUAUUGCCAUCACAGUGCUAGGUCCAUUAAUUCAUGGGGUUUGGGUAAGGGAGCUGGACCCUUUCCCUGGCCUGGCACAUUUUCUAAGUUCUUGGUCCUGGUUUUCCUGAUGCAGUUUUAAUACAUCCAUGUGACUUCACAGUCUCAAUCCACCCUGGUAAAUCACAGGGAAGCUCCCUCUCUACUCCCGGGAAUAAGUCUUUGAGACUGUGGUGUGUGAGUGGUACUGGAUAGAUGAUGUUCACUUGUCCACUUGGCUGUACAGUCACCCUCCACCCUCCAGACAGAGUUAAGGGAUGUUUGGAAAAUGGAGUCUCUCAGGGCAAGACACACCGAGAACACACAGUUUGACACAAUAUGGGAUGACUGAGACCAUGGCGCAGCCUGUUCUCAACACAGCCUUUCCUUUCCUCCUUUGGAGACUGAGCUCUGAGCACUGCGCGCCCCCAAGCUUCUCAAUCUGUGGUUGGGCUCAUCCAUGCAUGCAGAAGCCACGGCUGGAGGAAACCACAUCUGUAUGUUUGAGUAUGACACAGGAGGUGACCUGUAGAUGCAGUAGGACUUCAGAUCAGUAUAUAUACCUGACUUUGAGUUCCAUCCUUCCCUUGUUAACAGUUUGACCUUUGCAAGGCAGAUCUACCUGUUCUGGCCAUCCAAAGAUGAAGAGCAAGAAACCUGACCGUACUGUGAUAUCCGCUGGGGUGAUGCUAUGAGAAAUAUGCCUCAUUUGAGGGCAGAGUCCUAUGCAAGCACUUGUCUUAGUUUAGGUCAUAGCCUAAGUGACUGAGUGACGAUAAGCAAAGUGCUAUGACAUUUGUAUGGGCAGGAAAGCACUAGAAAUUCCAUGUCAUAGCACACUCUCCUGCCAUUGCCUUGAUCUAUCUCCCCACACUGUCAAGGGAGAGGCAGGAUAUCUGUUCCAUUGCUGCCGAACACCAUGACAUCUCUCUCUUUUUACCCCGUGCUUGGUAUUUCUUUACAUUUUUUGUUACACUUAUUUAUUUAGUCUGCAGACCCUGCAUUCUCCCUAUGCACCAGGCAGAUAUGAACCAAGGAUGAACGGAACCGGGGGGAGGUGGAAUAGCAGGGCUGCUCCUACUGCUUCUCUUCUUCAUUUCCAGGGUCCUCCCCUUAUGUGGGUGGGUGUUUAUUCUUCUUAUCUCUCUCCAGUUUCCUCUUAGGGAGUCUGGUCACACAAGGGCCAUGCAAACAAAGCAACCUAGCCCUGUAGGAAAUGGUUCGUCGAUUGGGAUUAUGAUUAAGCUGUAGACUCUGGUCAAGGAAACAGCUUCUCAGACACAAACUGGUCACAAUUCCUGUGGCAUGGUGGCAUGCUAUUUAACAUCAAGUGACAAUGAGUAACUGAACACUCUUAGGGGCUGGGCGAAAAUUAUGGGAUAUUCACGGUUUGGAGCAAGCUCCUGUUCCAGGCUCCAAGAGUCCAAAGUCAGAACGGAGAUGAAAAGGCCCCAAACCACAUGACACCUUUAAGGAAGCAGAUAAACCCAGCCAGACCAGCUCUCCCGAACACCGAGUCCAGGCUGAGUCCCGAGUCCAGGCUGAGUCAGCUGGACAAGGAAGCUGGCCUUUCCUUCAGUCUUUACAGAAGAGUAAUGUGAGGUGGGGGUGGAUUACGGUGGUAAAGCUCUUGCCUAGCAUGGAUGAGGAGGUCAUGGGUUCGCUCCCCAGAGCUGUAAAGACCAGUCUUAAUUUUUACUGUCUGUGUACUGUUAUGCAACAAAACCUUGUUUUACUCCUGCCCAGUGGGAGCCCUUGUCUGACUUUGUAGAGUUGAGGCCGUUUCAAUUUCAUGGAUCUCCAACAAAGGUCAAUUAGAUUUGUAACUAAUUCUGCAGUGUUUUCCUUGGACAAAUGUAUGACCUGUGUUUUAUUUUCAUGACCACUCGGUGAGAUAGUCCUACUACUCCUGUGUUAUAAAGGUUCAGGAAGGUUAAUGACCUGACCAAGUGCUCUAGCACCAUUAUUAUUAUAUAUAAUUAACACAAUCCCCUUUGCAAUUACAAAUGGGGUGGCUUAAUUUACAACAGGCAUCUGUUCUCUGACGUUUACUGCAGCAGUGGUCAGACAUGAAAUCAGCUGCAGUGUCUGUCAACAGAUGAACAAAGAAAACGUGGUGCCUGUAAACACUCAGUGGAACCUGUCAUUUGCUAUAACAUAGAUGGAACUUGACAACAUGUUAAGUGAAAUAAGCCACCUUGCAGUUUCAGUCAUAGAUGGGUCAUUCAGAAGCUGACCCAUGGUCACUGGACGUUGGGGACAAUAAGGGGGUGGAGGGAUGGGUGCUCAGUUAUAGCUGUACAGAGGUCAAGAAACAUCUGGCUUGGGCAUCUCUUCAUUAUAUAAUGAUAAUGCCUAAGCAGCAGCCACUGAUUUUCUCUGUUCUCUGAUGAGGUCCUGGUAGGUAAACUCCUGCGUGUUUUGGCCUCUUCUGCCCUGAUGAUCAGGGAUGAGAAUGCAAUCUCCAAUUGCACUUUACAAGUCAGGGAAAUACACAACUUUUCUUUUAGAGUAUAGCCUAGGCUGGUCCCAACCUUGUCAUCUUUUUGCUUCACCCUCAAUUCCAGUGUGGACCCACAGCAGCUGGGAGUGGCACACAUGGCUGUGUGCACCCAAGCCGGGGAGUGAAUCCAGGGCCAGGGGCUCUGAAACUGGACCAUACUCCAGCCUUCCUGAUCCUUUCAGAGGACUGGAUGAGGUCUGUGGUGCUUUGCUGAUGGCAAUCUGCUUUAUUUCAUCUAGUGCUUUAAUUUCAUCUUACUCUAAAACACUCACACAAACACCUACAACACCAAUUAUUGACUGGCCAAUUAUCUGAGUAUCCCAUGUCCUACCCAGUUGACACGUAAAACUAACCAUUGCAGAGAAUAACCUCAAGAACUCAACGAAGUGCGAGUGAGAAGGGGCUUGAAUCUCAGUCGGAUUUAGAAACCUGCAAUCUCUAUACACAUCCAUGCCACCUCAAGGAGGUGAUAUGUGGCUAGCAGGCUUCGCAGACCAACACCAGCAAUGUCAAGCUUGGUCAGAGCAGUUUCUUUUUGGCUCACAGAUAAUGAAAUAUGUAUUUAUCCUUCCCCCUGUCUAACCCUGAGCUGACCACUUUGCUCAGAUGGCCAGGGACACAGAGGUAACGGUGCACACAGGGCAGAUGGGAGAAAACAAUGGGAGGUGGAGAUACUCCUUUACAUGUCCAAGAGGAUGAAAGAGGAAAGCCAAAUAGACUAGGAACUCUGGCCUCCAAAGGGACAAAGUCCAGUCUGGUGUAGAAGGGCUGCUGCAUCAAAGGGUUCCUGCCUAACAAUGAGGAUCCCACACAGUAUGUCCCAGCCCCAGAGCCUGGCACCCCAAUUGUGGCAGCAGCUGCCAUUGUCAUAUCUCUUGAAAUAGCCGUGGAAGCUGUGACUAGUGUUAAGUGAGGCCAGGGGAAUGGGAGACAAGCAAGCUGUCAAGGCUGGCCAUCACCUUGCGACGUGGAUGGUUGUUGGAGCAGCACUGUAGACAGUGGUCAGCUCAGUUACUAAGAGGCUCUCCUGACUACAGAGUGGGUAGGGGAUUGCCUGGAGAGAUGGCUCAGCCGUUAUGAGCACUUGGUACUCUUGCAGAGGUCCUGGAUCCCAUAAUCCACAUCAGACAGCCCAUAACUGCCAAUUCCAACUCCAGGGGGAUCUGACACCUUCUUCUGACUUCUCUGGGCACCUGUGCUCAUGUGGUGCACACAUAGACAAGUAGGCAAAUACAUACACAUGUAAAUAAGAAAUGUCUAAAAAUUCAUUAUGCAUAUGCAUUUAUGUUUCUACGUGUGUGUAAGUGUCCUUGGAGACUAGAAGUGUUAGAUCCCUGGAGCUGGAACUACAGGUGGUCAUGAGUCACCCAGUGUGGCCACUGGGAACCAAACCUGGGUCCUCUGUAAGAACGCUAACUACAUACUCUUAACCUCUAAGCCAUCUCUUUAGGCCCCAAAUCAUUUUAAAAGGAGGGGUGAGGACCAACGAAGCAGGUGACCUUAUCAUGGGGUGAUGGGCUGUGUCAAGAAAGCUGCUACCCAACAGGGCACCACCCCCUCUCUCUGCUGCACCCUGAGCAUGCCAAGUCCGAACAGACUGGACAGAGGUGUGUGGCUUUUACUUCUGCAGUGCUGGGGUCACGCCACACCAGGUGAGCACUCUACCACCUAGCUGUACCCUCAACUGGGUCAAACUUGGCUUACUGGUUGGUUUUUUAUGCCAGCUAAGUCACAGCUUUACUGCUGAUUGGAUACAUCACAGCCAAACCUGUUAGGGCAGGUUAUUCAGAAUGGUGCCCUGGUUGGGAAAGAAAAUACAAAACAAAACAAAAAACAACAAAAAAACCACAACCCAAGUUUAGCAUAUUAGAUGUAGCAUACCAGAAUAGAGAAAACAAACAAUAAAAUAAACAAACCAAAAUGGACUUUCAGGUUUGGAGAGGAGAAAAUAGGAAUGUUAGCUUCUGGACAAUUAUCUUUGUAGCCUUUAAAGUUGCAUUCCAUUGCGGGUGUUAACUUGAAACAUUCACUGAAUGCUGCUCUAGUCAUUAACUUUAGUGACCAAAAUUUUAAAACUUUUCCCUCAGGGAUUAAGAACACUACUGGUGCUGGGUGGUGGUGGUGCAUGCCUUUAAUCCCAGCACUCAGGAGGCAGAGGCAGGCGGAUCUCUGUGAGUUCGAGGCCAGCCGGGUCUACAGACGGAGAUCCAGGACAGGCACCAAAUUACACAGAGAAACCCUGUCUCAAAAAAAAAAAAAAAGAACACUACUGGCGAUUUCCCAAACCAGAUGUCCAAACCAUGGGGAAGUCGCAAAUGUCAGCUGCUGAAAGUGACCCUCACUUUAGGGGUACACAAGGUCAGGGGCUUCAGUACAGACACACACACACACAAAAUGUAAUUUAGGGUUCUGUGUUGUCAGUACCAGACGCUGUGCACUAGGUGGCACUCCGAGCCCAGACUGAAGCCAAAAGACUGCGUGACAUCAUCUAGGGUUUGCAGGGUUCCGAGGGAGGUUGCUUUAAGUUGGAAGAGUGAAAAAUGGACAGACCAUGGGGCUAGUGUGUUGGAAAGACAACAGUUGAGGAAUUUAAAGUCACAAUGUUGAGUUGAACACAUGGCUGAACUGCGUCAAUAAAUAUCAAACAAGGAUUCUGGAGACACAGUGCUGAGGCAGGAGGAUUGGGAGUUCAAGGCCAGGGCUACAUGGGGAGAUCCUGACUCAAACAACAAACAUAAAAGAAAACAAAACCCAAACAAACACGAGAGAGAAGGAUUGCCCUGCAGGGACGGAUGACGUAAGAGAUUGGAUUUUAAAGGAACUGUCAGACUUUCUGAGUUUAGUGGAUCCUGGAACCUGGAGCACACCUUCCAUGCACUUAGAUGAGCCUAGCCCGAGAGAGAGAACUCGGGCUUGUGAUGGGAACAGUAGAAGAUAACAACUUAUCCCCAUAGGUAAGCAGGCAAUGCUGAAAAUUAUUUUCAAUGAAAAAUACCCCCCCCCCCCCAAUCAUGCACACACACAGGAAUAAUGAAUGAUAAACUGGUAAAUCUAUAUAACUCUGUUUACUCACUUGAGGCCUUGUGAAGAAUCAACUUCUGGCUGUCCUUAGGAGACAGGUUGGAAACACAAGGAAAAGUCUGUCACCAGAGACCUGUACAGGUGCUAUCAUCAGUGAGGACUAUCUUUAGAACACAAGGCUGGCCCGGCAUUCUCCCAGCACGUUUGAUGUGAAAUGGCUUUCUUGUUGUUCAGGGUUGUGGUGGAUAAUUAUGAUCACCAACUGGACAGGACUGAGAACCGUCUAAGAGACACACCAGGAUCUGUCUGUGACCCGGCUAACAGAGAUGGGAAGAUCUACCACCCAUAGGGCGGCACCAUCUCAUGGCCUGGGGUCCUUGAAGAAUAAAGAGUGAGCUGAGCACCAAUAUUCAUCUGCUUCCUGACUGUGGAUGCCAUGUGACCAGCUGCCUCAGUGGAAUGUACCCCCAAACUGUUAGGUAUUUUUGUCAGAGCAAGGAGAAAAGUAACUAAUUCCAGAUACAUAAGAAAGAGGUUAACAGUGUCCUACUGACUGAUGGAAAAAUCUUAUUCAUCUCUGUUCUCUACAGUAACCUUGGCGAUUUGCAGCUACUAUGUUAAUGUGUGCAAUCCCUCUGUGGAACUUUGAGAAACUGUGGUGCUCGUGACUGAACCCUGGGCCUUGCAGUGGGAGGCAGGGACUUUAGUCACUGAGCGACUCCCGGUCCAGACUUCUUAAGCCUGUAAUAAACCUGGACUUUGCUCAGGAAAGGCAGAAACUCAUCUUUUGGGAAACUAAAGUCACGCAGCAUUGCCCUUGCUUUGGACCCAUGGUGGUAAAGGGAGCAGCAAGUCUGAAGCAUUGAAGGCAAUGACGAACUUCCCAUGAACCUGCACCAUGCUGAGCUCACUAUCAAGAUCUGAAACUUAAGUCGAGCAUCACACUGCACUGACAUCAGCAAACACAUUCUAGAACUUUUGAUAGGACCUUGGCUUGGUGCAGCUCAGACUUGGUGAGUUUGUAGAGCAGUUAAAAAGGGACAAAUUUGUAUGGCUGCAAUCUUUAUAUUUUAACAAGAAAAGUACUUAGCUGGGCGGUGGAGGCACACACCUUUAAUCCCAGCACUCGGGAAGCAGAGACAGACAGAUUUCUGUGAGUUCGAGGCCAGCCUAGUCUACAAAGAGAGUUCCAGGACAGCCAGGGCUGAGAAACCCUGUCUCGAAAAACCAAAAAAGAGAAAGAAAGGAAAGUAUUUAAGGGAACUGAUACCGCUACCAACAUUUCAUUGAAGAAUACUUCAAUACUGUAGAUGUUGGAAUUGUCUUACAAUAAAAAGGAAAUUCAUGCUGAUAACUUUAUACUAUUAUUUUUCCUUCCUGGAUAGCUAAACAUUUGACCUAGGUCAAAGUUUGGGGACCCACGUCUCAUAAGUCACUUAGCACAAUCAUGUCUAUUUAAAAAGCUGAAAAGUGAAGUGGCCCUGCCUAUCAGGGACAGGUCUACCGUGGUGGCUCAGGCCUGCGACUCUGGCAUGAGACUGGCUGAGGCAGUUCUGUGUUCAAAGCCAGCCUGCACUACACAGUAAGACUCUAUCUCUUAAUAAAUCAAUCGUGUCAACUAGCAGAAUACACUCUCAAAGACUGCCUACACCACUUAUGCUACCAACUGGGGACCUCAGUUAAUGUUUAUCUUAAAGCCAAGUGUCACCAUAAUGGAUGCAAAAAUAAAAAAAACCGUCCAACUGUCUGGAAGCAGCUAUCAUUUAUCAAAUAACCCUUAUCGUACAGUGCUAUAACUAAACGCUUAUCUUGUCAGUUACAUCACAAACUGUGAUAGCCAAUUAUGGGAUGCACACAUCCAUCAGACAGAUGUCACCGCAUCUCUAAACAUGGUCCCUCACGCAGGAAACUCUAAGAGAACUCAAGACCUUUCUGCAGAAAGUGAGUCCAGGCUGACUGUCUUCUAGCUGUUUCCCCUUCCUGGGGAAGACAGCCACACAUUUUAUGUUGGUCUAAAAUCUGCAAACAAACCCUGGAAAGACCAGUUAGUCCAAUUUCCUUGAUUUAAAAGGCCGAGAAACAGGCUGGGGACAUAGUUUAGUGGGUAAAGUGCCUGCCAUGGUUUGCAUGAAGAUUGGAGUCUGGCUCCCCAAACCCCCAAAGUUAGGUGCAUUGGAAUCUAGUGCUGGGGGUUGGGGGAGGACAGGAGGAUCCCUGGGGCUCCUUGGUGAGCCAAUGUAGCCAAACUGAUGAGACCCAACAGUGACCUCUGGCCUCCACCUGUGACCACAUACCCCAUACGAACACACACAACAUUCAUACACUUGGGCCGAGGAGCCGAGUGGCUUUGCUGAGGUAAGUGGUCUAGAGAAGACAGCUCACCAGGGCUCAGUCAAUGAGGGUGGCACGUGGAGCCUCGGGUGCUCGUUCGGGCAGAGCAGCAACUAUGCAUAGUAACACUUGUCUUCAAGCCUUGUACGUUUAAAAGAGGGGGUCCCUUUUAUCUUCAAAGGUUGUUCCUUUACUAGCUUGAGCCAUGCACUUGAUUACUCAGAGUGGGAAAUAAGAAUUUCCUAUGCUUUUGAUUGAAACUAGUUAUGCUCUGCAAGGCUGUGUGGCUUUGAGAUCAAUAUGCUUGAACAUGGGCAUCAAAUCCCAUCAAAGCCUUCAGUCCGAUGCCCUUCUGUUCUUGGGCUUAAGCUCCAUAAGACUACAUUUUAUUUUGUUUUGCUAUACGGAUAUGUGACGUACAUGUGUAUAAUCAAUCACAUUCACAUUGUGUGGUGCACGUGUGUGCUCAAAUGGAGGCCUGAGGUUGAUACCAGUGUCUUCUUUGAUAGAGCUCCUGUAUUUAUUGAGACAGGGUCUCUUGUUGAAAGCAGACCUCCUUGAUUCUGGCUAGUCUUGUUCUGGUAAUCCUUACCUCUGCCCCCCAAGCGUUGGGAUUACAGGCAAGCCACCAUGC